rnacentral:rRNA from 1 species
GACGAACGCUGGCGGCGUGCUUAACACAUGCAAGUCGAGCGACUGCAUUCUUUUCGGAGGGUGUAUGGAGCGGCGAACGGGUGAGUAACACGUGAGUAAUCUGCCUUUGGCUUGGGAAUAACUUCGGGAAAUCGGGGCUAAUGCCUGAUGUUUACUGUCUGCUGCAUGGUGGGUGGUGGAAAGAUUUUUUGGCCAGGGAUGAGCUCGCGGUCUAUCAGCUUGNGGUGGGGUGAUGGCCUACCAAGGCGACGACGGGUAGCCGGCCUGAGAGGGCGACCGGCCACACUGGGACUGAGACACGGCCCAGACUCCUACGGGAGCAGCAGUGGGGAAUCUUGCGCAAUGGGCGAAAGCCUGACGCAGCGACGCCGCGUGAGGGAUGAC